rnacentral:rRNA from 1 species
GUAGGGAAUCUUCCGCAAUGGACGAAAGUCUGACGGAGCAACGCCGCGUGAGUGAUGAAGGCUUUCGGGUCGUAAAACUCUGUUGUUAGGGAAGAACAAGUGCUAGUUGAAUAAGCUGGCACCUUGACGGUACCUAACCAGAAAGCCACGGCUAACUACGUGCCAGCAGCCGCGGUAAUACGUAGGUGGCAAGCGUUAUCCGGAAUUAUUGGGCGUAAAGCGCGCGCAGGUGGUUUCUUAAGUCUGAUGUGAAAGCCCACGGCUCAACCGUGGAGGGUCAUUGGAAACUGGGAGACUUGAGUGCAGAAGAGGAAAGUGGAAUUCCAUGUGUAGCGGUGAAAUGCGUAGAGAUAUGGAGGAACACCAGUGGCGAAGGCGACUUUCUGGUCUGUAACUGACACUGAGGCGCGAAAGCGUGGGGAGCAAACAGGAUUAGAUACCC